GAUGAACGCUGGCGGCGUGCCUAAUACAUGCAAGUCGAGCGGACCAAAGAGAGCUUGCUCUCUGAGGUUAGCGGCGGACGGGUGAGUAACACGUGGGUAACCUGCCUGUAAGACGGGGAUAACUUCGGGAAACCGAAGCUAAUACGGGAUGAUAAAGAGAAACGCCUGUUUCUUUUUUGAAAGUCGGCCUUGUGCUGACGCUUACAGAUGGGCCCGCGGCGCAUUAGCUAGUUGGUGAGGUAACGGCUCACCAAGGCGACGAUGCGUAGCCGACCUGAGAGGGUGAUCGGCCACACUGGGACUGAGACACGGCCCAGACUCCUACGGGAGGCAGCAGUAGGGAAUCUUCGGCAAUGGACGAAAGUCUGACCGAGCAACGCCGCGUGAGCGAUGAAGGCCUUCGGGUCGUAAAGCUCUGUUGUCAGAGAAGAACAAGUACCGGAGUAACUGCCGGUACCUUGACGGUACCUGACCAGAAAGCCACGGCUAACUACGUGCCAGCCGCCGCCGUAAAAC
rnacentral:rRNA from 1 species